AGAGCGAACGCUGGCGGCAAGCUUAACACAUGCAAGUCGAGCGCCCGUAGCAAUACGGGAGCGGCAGACGGGUGAGUAACACGUGGGAACGUGCCUUUUGGUUCGGAACAACUGAGGGAAACUUCAGCUAAUACCGGAUAAGCCCUUACGGGGAAAGAUUUAUCGCCAAGAGAUCGGCCCGCGUCUGAUUAGCAAGUUGGUGGGUAAUGGCCCACCAAGGCUACGAUCAGUAGCUGGUCUGAGAGGAUGAUCAGCCACACUGGGACUGAGACACGGCCCAGACUCCUACGGGGGGCAGCAGUGGGAAUCUUGGACAAGUGGGCGCAAGCCUGAUCCAGCCAUCGCCGCGUGAGUGAUGGAAGGUCCUUAGGUUGUAAAGCUUCGUUUCAGGACGGGUAAGAUAAAGUGAACCGGUACCCGACGAAGAA
rnacentral:rRNA from 1 species